CCUACGGGAGGCUGCAGUGAGGAAUAUUGGUCAAUGGGCGCGAGCCUGAACCAGCCAAGUAGCGUGAAGGAUGACUGCCCUACGGGUUGUAAACUUCUUUUAUAAAGGAAUAAAGUGAGGCACGUGUGCCUUUUUGUAUGUACUUUAUGAAUAAGGAUCGGCUAACUCCGGGCCAGCAGCCGCGGUAAGACGGAGGAUCCGAGCGUUAUCCGGAUUUAUUGGGUUUAAAGGGAGCGUAGAUGGGUUGUUAAGUCAGUUGUGAAAGUUUGCGGCUCAACCGUAAAAUUGCAAUGGAUACUGGCAGCUUUGAGUACAGUUGAGGUAGGCGGAAUGCGUGGUGGGGCGGUGAAAUGCUUAGAUAUCACGAAGAACUCCGAUUGCGAAGGCAGCCUACUAAACUGCCACUGACAUUGAGGCUCGAAAGUGUGGGUAUCAAACAGGAGUAGAUACCCCUGUAGUC
rnacentral:rRNA from 1 species